rnacentral:rRNA from 1 species
GAUGAACGCUGGCGGCGUGCCUAAUACAUGCAAGUCGAGCGAACGGACGAGAAGCUUGCUUCUCUGAUGUUAGCGGCGGACGGGUGAGUAACACGUGGAUAACCUACCUAUAAGACUGGGAUAACUUCGGGAAACCGUAGCUAAUACCGGAUAAUAUUUUGAACCGCAUGGUUCAAAAGUGAAAGACGGUCUUGCUGUCACUUAUAGAUGGAUCCGCGCUGCAUUAGCUAGUUGGUAAGGUAACGGCUUACCAAGGCAACGAUGCAUAGCCGACCUGAGAGGGUGAUCGGCCACACUGGAACUGAGACACGAUCCAGACUCCUACGGGAGGCAGCAGUAGGGAAUCUGCCGCAAUGGGCGAAAGCCUGACGGAGCAACGCCGCGUGAGUGAUGAAGGUCUUCGGAUCGUAAAACUCUGUUAUUAGGGAAGAACAUAUGUGUAAGUAACUGUGCACAUCUUGACGGUACCUAAUCAGAAAGCCACGGCUAACUACGUG